rnacentral:rRNA from 1 species
UGGGGAAUCUUGCGCAAUGGGCGAAAGCCUGACGCAGCGACGCCGCGUGAGGGAUGACGGCCUUCGGGUUGUAACCUCUUUCUAGCUCCGACGAGGCGGAAGUGACGGUAGGAGCAGAAGAAGCACCGGCCAACUACGUGCCAGCAGCCGCGGUAAUACGUAGGGUGCGAGCGUUGUCCGGAAUUAUUGGGCGUAAAGAGCUCGUAGGCGGUUUGUCGCGUCGGCUGUGAAAACUCGGGGCUCAACUCCGAGCUUGCAGUCGAUACGGGCAGACUAGAGUUCGGCAGGGGAGACUGGAAUUCCUGGUGUAGCGGUGAAAUGCGCAGAUAUCAGGAGGAACACCGGGUGGCGAAGGCGGGUCUCUGGGCCGAUACUGACGCUGAGGAGCGAAAGCGUGGGGAGCGAACAGGAUUAGAUACCCUGGUAGUCCACGCCGUAAACGUUGGGCGCUAGGUGUGGGAUCCCUUCCACGGGUUCCGUGCCGCAGCUAACGCAUUAA